UACGUAGGCAGCAAGCGUUGUUCGGAGUUACUGGGCGUAAAGGGUGCGUAGGCGGCUUUUUAAGUUUGGUGUGAAAUCUCCCGGCUCAACUGGGAGGGUGCGCCGAAUACUGAGAGGCUAGAGGUGUGGGAAGAGGAAAGUGGAAUUCCUGGUGUAGCGGUGAAAUGCGUAGAUAUCAGGAGGAACACCGGUGGUGUAAACGGCUUUCUGAACCAUAACUGACGCUGAUGCACGAAAGCGUGGGUAGCAAACAGG
rnacentral:rRNA from 1 species